GAUUAACGCUAGCGGCAGGCAUAAUACAUGCAAGUUGAACGGGAUAAGUUUAGUAAUAGACUUUGAGAGUGGCGCACGGGUGCGUAACACGUAUGCAGCCUGCCCUUGACUGGAGAAUAGCCUCUCGAAAGAGGGAUUAAUGUUCCAUAACAUAGUGAUAGAGCAUUCUAUUGCUAUCAAAGCUCCGGCGGUCGAGGAUGGGCAUGCGGUUGAUUAGCUAGUUAGUGAGGUAACGGCUCACCAAGGCGACGAUCAAUAGGGGGUCUGAGAGGAUGUCCCCCCACACUGGUACUGAGACACGGACCAGACUCCUACGGGAGGCAGCAGUAGGGAAUAUUGGACAAUGGAGGCAACUCUGAUCCAGCCAUGCCGCGUGCAGGAAGACUGCCCUAUGGGUUGUAAACUGCUUUUGUACGGGAAGAAACCCGCCUACGUGUAGGUGGUUGACGGUACCGUAAGAAUAAGGAUCGGCUAACUUCGUGCCAGCCGCCGCCGUAAAAC
rnacentral:rRNA from 1 species